GGCUAUAGCUCAGUUGGUAGAGCGCUUGCAUGGCAUGCAAGAGGUCUGGGGUUCAAUUCCCCAUCGCUACA
rnacentral:tRNA from 1 species